ACUAGUAAAUCAGGGAAUAUUUUUAUGCAGCUUUUCCAUAGUGUCGUAUGCCUUGCAGUUGUGUUAGUAACACAGUAAACUAAGGAAAAUAAUCAUUUAAACUUAGAAUAUCAAAAUGAUUUGGGAAAAAUCAUGAUUAGUCCAUGGCCUGUAAAAUUCUUAUGAAAACAUGAAAGUGUCUCCUUCUGUUCCUUUAGUUGUAAGGGGGAAUAAGAAAAAAAUAAAAAGUUAAUAUUUAGUAUGCUGUUAUCUAAAACAACAUUUAGGAAAUACCCUAUUUAUAAAGAUUCUGUGGCUGGGGAGAUGGUUUAGUUUAAGUAAACUGUUAAAGAGGACUUGCUCCACUUAAAGAGGACCAGGGUUUGGUUCCCAGCAUCCACGUGGUUAUUAACUCCAGUUCCUAAGGGCAGAGCACCGAGUCUGUGACAUGUUCGUCAUUUCUGUUUUAAUUAUAGUUGUCCCCUGGUACCAAUGGGGGAUAGCUUCUGAAAUUCAGCAAGUACCAGCAUCUACAGCUAUUUAAGUCCUCUAGAGAGUGCUGCAUUGUUUGAAUUAAACAUUCAUUCCUUCUCAUAUAUUUUAAAUCAAUACUAGAUCAUUUGUAACACCUAAUAAAAUAGAAGUGCUAUAAAAA
rnacentral:lncRNA from 1 species